AAAUAAAACUUUGGAUCAAAAAAUAUUUUCUUCUGAUGAGGUUUAUGAAUAUUAAAUAGUUAAACCAUCCGAGUACGAAACAUGUUUAAAAUCCACUAUUCUUAAUGAAUGGCAACUACCAACUUGAGAGGAAGCUAAGAGAAAGGUUCCAUUGGGUGGACUACAAGGAAAAGGGACAUAUACAUGAGGAUCUGGAAGGGCUAUAACAUUACGUCUCAAGCCAUGGGACAA